UGGCUGUCGUCAGCUCGUGUUGUGAAAUGUUGGGUUAAGUCCCGCAACGAGCGCAACCCUUAUCCUUUGUUGCCAGCGGUCCGGCCGGGAACUCAAAGGAGACUGCCAGUGAUAAACUGGAGGAAGGUGGGGAUGACGUCAAGUCAUCAUGGCCCUUACGACCAGGGCUACACACGUGCUACAAUGGCGCAUACAAAGAGAAGCGACCUCGCGAGAGCAAGCGGACCUCAUAAAGUGCGUCGUAGUCCGGAUUGGAGUCUGCAACUCGACUCCAUGAAGUCGGAAUCGCUAGUAAUCGUGGAUCAGAAUGCCACGGUGAAUACGUUCCCGGGCCUUGUACACACCGCCCGUCACACCAUGGGAGUGGGUUGCAAAAGAAGUAGGUAGCUUAACCUUCGGGAGGGCGCUUACCACUUUGUGAUUCAUGACUGGGGUGAAGUCGUAACAAGGUAACCGUAGGGGAACCUGC
rnacentral:rRNA from 2 species